AUCAACUUUCGAUGGUAGGAUAGAGGCCUACCAUGGUGGUAACGGGUAACGGGGUGUUAGGGCACGACACCGGAGAGGGAGCCUGAGAAACGGCUACCACAUCCAAGGAUGGCAGCAGGCGCGCAAAUUACCCAAUCCCGAUACGGGGAGGUAGUGACAAUAAAUAACAAUACGGGGUUCUUUCGGAUCUCGUAAUUGGAAUGAGUACAAUUUAAAUCUCUUAACGAGGAACAAUUGGAGGGCAAGUCUGGUGCCAGCAGCCGCGGUAAUUCCAGCUCCAAUAGCGUAUAUUAAAGUUGUUGCAGUUAAAAAGCUCGUAGUUGAAUUUCGGGAUCAGUAGGUUGGUCAUGCCUAUGGUAUGUACUGGCUUUACUGGUUCCUCCUUCUUGAUGAUCUGUAAUGUCAUUAAUUUGGUGUUGCAGGGAGUCAGGACUGUUACUUUGAAAAAAUUAGAGUGUUUAAAGCAGGCAUACGCUUGAAUACAUUAGCAUGGAAUAAUGAAAUAGGACGUUCGAUCCUAUUUUGUUGGUUUCUAGGAUUGACGUAAUGAUUAAUAGGGAUAGUUGGGGGCAUUAGUAUUCAAUUGUCAGAGGUGAAAUUCUUGGAUUUAUUGAAGACUAACUACUGCGAAAGCAUUUGCCAAGGAUGUUUUCAUUAAUCAAGAACGAAAGUUAGGGGAUCGAAGACGAUCAGAUACCGUCGUAGUCUUAACCAUAAACUAUGCCGACUAGGGAUCGGAUGAUGUUAUUUUUAAUGACUCAUUCGGCGCCUUACGGGAAACCAAAGUGUUUGGGUUC
rnacentral:rRNA from 1 species